GACGGGGGGGGCAAGUGUUCUUCGGAAUCACUGGGCUUAAAGGGCGCGUAGGCGGGUGACCAAGUCAGGGGUGAAAUCUUUCGGCCCAACUGGAAAAGUGCCUCUGAUACUGGUCGUCUUGAGGGAGGUAGGGGUCGAGGGAACUGGUGGUGGAGCGGUGAAAUGCGUAGAUAUCACUAGGAACGCCGGUGGCGAAAGCGCUCGACUGGACCUCUUCUGACGCUGAGGCGCGAAGCCAGGGGAGCAAACGGG
rnacentral:rRNA from 1 species